AACCAUCCAAGUAGAGGUCUAUGUUUUCCUUCUGUCUCAUCCCAACAGCUGGGGCCACGUGAUCUCCAAUCUUCACAAUCUGUGCAUGCUUAUUUUUUAAGACAAAUUUUAAUCUGAAGUAUGACAAACCACAAAGCCCUAGUCUCACAUUUUGGUCUCCUAUGCGCUGGCCAUACUUCUUGGCACUGCAGAUGCCCCAGUGUCCAACAGAGACAAAUUUCAAGCUUUUUGGUGGAACUUCUUUCUAAUGUUUUCUUUCCCUGCCUGCAGCAAAAAUCCCUGAUGCUCUCCCACUUCUAUCAAUACAUCUACAUGUUGUUCCAUUUCCAUUUCUUCUGCAGUGGUUUAGCUUGCUGCUAUCUUUUUUUUUUUUUUUGCUUUUGGGGCUGCACCUGCAGCAUAUGGAAAUUCCCAGCCUGGGAGUCAAAUCAGAACUAGAGCUGCUGGCCUACACCACAGCCAUAGCAAUGCCAGAUCAUUAAUGCUGGCCUUAGGAGGCAGAGACUGAUGCCUUGCUUUCAAUACUGUGUCCCAUAUGACUUUUCCUUGUGCAUCAUUUAGCUCAGCUGAGCAGACUUAAUGCCCAAAUUAAACUUUGCUAAUAGCUGGAAUCUGAGGCAAACAGUACUAAGAGUGAAACCAUGAAAAUAAUCAUCUAACAGUCUUUGCAUAACUUACUCAUCUUCAGUUUUCCGGGCUAGGGGUCAAAAUGGAGUGGCAGGGGCCAGCCUACACCACAACCAUAGCAAGACCAGAUUCAAGCCAUGUCUGUGAUCUACACCACAGCUCAUGGCAACUCCAGCUCCUCAACCCACUGAGCGAGGGCAGGGAUCAAACCCACAUCCUCAUGAAUACUAGUCAGGUCCUUAAUCCACUGCACCACAUUAGGAACUCCAUUGAUUUCUAUUUUUGCAAGUACAUAUCUCCAAAUAUCUAGCUUUGUUAUCAUGAAAACUCAAAGAAUGGGAGCUUCCAUCUAUCUCUAGACCAUCCUCUCAGCUCUGGGUUUCUUCCUGAGGGUCUUCUUCCCCAGAUCAUCAGUUCUGGCAAGAACCACAAGCUUCAUGGAGAGAGAAAAGACAUCUACAAUGGCAUAGCCUAACCCAUCAGUCUUACCCUCUAAGUAGAUAUACCAAGAAUUAGUCAGGCUUUUUCCAAAUACAGGUGACAAAAUUUUAUCUUAUUUUCUUAAGAAAAAUAUUUAAGUCUUUGACUAAGAAAACUGAAAAGCAUGGUUGCUUGCUUCAGGCACGGCUAGACAAGGAGGUGCAAAUGAUGUCAUCUGUCUUCUGUCAUUUGACAGCCUUUUGCUCUCUUUCUCUUUUUCUUUAUUUGUCUUUCUCUUUUUUAAACUGUUCUUCCCUCUUCGUUUCUAUUCUUCCUGUUCUCCUUUCGAUUGAGUCCACCUUCAAGGAAAAUUCCUCCCAUUUUGGCACAAACAGCCACUAGCGGCUUUGGCUUUACAUUAAACUACAGCAAUCCAAUGAAAAGAAAAAAAUGUAACCUCUUUCUGAACGGUUCCAGCAAAACUUUGAGAGAGGAUGGUGAUUGGCCCAGCAUGGCUCUCUGAACCAAUCCUGUAACUGACUGAUCACCUGGAUAACAAACCUAUUCCUGUGAAAGAAAAGACAGUGCCCUGUGAUUGACAGUCCUAACCAGGGAGCAGAGAGGUAUUCCCUUAAAAGAUACACUUUAGGGCAUUCAAGAAAUAUCAGAUCUGAAUAAAAUAUGGUAUUUCCAAUAUUCAUUCCAGAGAUAUAGGUAUGCAAGACCAGGAGAUUAUUAGAGUUGUAGUUACACAUAAAUUUGAUAUGCUCAACAAGUCAGAGAAGAAUUGGGAAUAAUUAAUUAUAAAACUGGUUCAGUCAUAAGCAAUCUGAGACACUGUAUCACCAAAGGUAUGGAAAUAGGUCUCCGAAGUAUUAGACAAGCUUAGAUCCCAUAUAAGACCAAAUGUCAGGAGUGAUUCAGACAUACACGUUGUUUUUAAGUGCACUGAGCAAAUCAGAAGGGAGGGACCAGGAUGUAAAUACACCUGAGACAAGAACCACAAAUACUUGACCCUAUUGAAAGGUAUAAAGAUAAAGGAUGUAAAAGUGAAACACUGUGCAAGGUAAGAAGAAUAUACCACUAUCACAAUUAAUCCCUUUUUAUUACUACAUGCUUCAGUGAAUGAGUUGUAUUUACAGAACUUCAAAAUCAGAAUCUACAAAGGGUGAGGCUGAGUUGGUUUAGUAAUGAAGUGAUGGUAUUCAUAAGCACUGAUCAACUGUCGAUUUUAAUACCAUAGCCAUUAAUGCCUUGAUUUCCCAUUCCACAGGAAAUCAAAUGCAGCCAAGAACUCCUUAAAAUUUCAGCCACAUCCUGUAAUAGAGAG
ensembl:lncRNA